AGAACGAACGCUGGCGGCAUGCCUAAUACAUGCAAGUCGAACGAAGGCUUCGGCCUUAGUGGCGCACGGGUGCGUAACGCGUGGGAAUCUGCCCCUUGGUUCGGAAUAACAGUUGGAAACGACUGCUAAUACCGGAUGAUGACGAAAGUCCAAAGAUUUAUCGCCAAGGGAUGAGCCCGCGUAGGAUUAGCUAGUUGGUGAGGUAAAGGCUCACCAAGGCGACGAUCCUUAGCUGGUCUGAGGGGAUGAUCAGCCACACUGGGACUGAGACACGGCCCAGACUCCUACGGGAGGCAGCAGUAGGGAAUAUUGGACAAUGGGCGAAAGCCUGAUCCAGCAAUGCCGCGUGAGUGAUGAAGGCCUUAGGUUGUAAAGCUCUUUUACCCGAGAUGAUAAUGACAGUAUCGGAGAAUAAGCCCCGGCUAACUCCGCGCCAGCAGCCGC
rnacentral:rRNA from 1 species